GGCAACCAGCUUGCGUCCGUUUCCAUGUUGUGGGAGAUUUGUUCUUUCGCUCUUUGUGGUAAAUCUUGCUACUGCUCACUCUUUGAGUCCACACUGCUUUUAUGAGCUGUAACACUCACCGGGAAGGUCUGCAGCUUCAAUCCUGAAGCCAGCGAGGCCACCAGCCCACCGGGAGGAACGAACAACUCCAGACGCACCGCCUUAAGAGCUGUAACACUCACCGCGAAGGUCUGCAGCUUCACUCCUGAGCCAGCGAGACCACGAACCCACCAGAAGAAAGAAACUCCGAACACAUCCGAACACCAGAAGGAACAAACUCCAGACGCGCCAACUGUAACACUCACCGCGAGGAUCCGUGGCUUCAUUCUUGAAGUCAGUGAGACCAAGAACCCACCAAUUCCGGACACACUGUUAUUGUCUUCAGAAGGAGAGUAAAAAGAAUGCUGGGUAGAAGAAAUACCUGAAGAAAUAAUGGCCCAACCUCAAAUUUGGUGAAAGACAUAAACUUACAGAUUCAAGAAACUGAGUGUUCCCCAAACAGAAUAAACUUUAAAGAAUCCACACUCAAACACAUCAUAAUCAAACUUCUGAAAACUAACAACAAAGAAAAACUUAAAAUCAGCAAGAGAGAAACCACACAUUAUCAACUGAUGAAAAGUGACUCAAGUGACAGCAGAUUUAUAAUCAGAAACUUGAAGGACAGAAGGAAGAGGCAAAACAUUUUGAAAGCCCUAAAAGGAAAGAACUGUCAACCCAGAAUUCGAC
rnacentral:lncRNA from 1 species